UACGAAGGGGGCUAGCGUUGCUCGGAAUCACUGGGCGUAAAGCGCACGUAGGCGGACUCUUAAGUCGGUGGUGAAAUCCUGGAGCUCAACUCCAGAACUGCCUUCGAUACUGGGAGUCUUGAGUCCGGGAGAGGUGAGUGGAACUGCGAGUGUAGAGGUGAAAUUCGUAGAUAUUCGCAAGAACACCAGUGGCGAAGGCGGCUCACUGGCCCGGUACUGACGCUGAGGUGCGAAAGCGUGGGGAGCAAACAGGG
rnacentral:rRNA from 1 species